UAAUACGGAGGAUCCGAGCGUUAUCCGGAUUUAUUGGGUUUAAAGGGUGCGUAGGCUGUUCGGUAAGUUAGAGGUGAAAGGUCAACGCUUAACGUUGAGAUUGCCUCUGAUACUGCCGGGCUAGAGUUUAGUUGCUGUGGGCGGAAUGAGUAGUGUAGCGGUGAAAUGCUUAGAUAUUACUCAGAACACCGAUUGCGAAGGCAGCUCACAAAGCUAUAACUGACGCUGAGGCACGAAAGCGUGGGGAUCAAACAGGAUUAGAUACCCUGGUAGUCCACGCCGUAAACGAUGAUAACUCGUUGCAGGCGAUACACAGUCUGUGACUUAGCGAAAGCGUUAAGUUAUCCACCUGGGGAGUACGUUCGCAAGAAUG
rnacentral:rRNA from 1 species